AUGACUCAUGACUGCAGGGACUAUAAAGGCUUUCGGGUGUCUUCAAAUCCCGGUUAAUGUUUGGUGUCAGUAUGAGGGCUCUUGUGGUUUUUGCGUUGGGAGUGCUGGGCUUUAGUCUGGCCGAAGGUCGAGUCGUGACCAAAUGCGAACUGAGGCAGCGGCUGUUCCAGGUGAUCGCCACCCUCCCACAGUCAGCUCAGCAGUCGGGACUGAAAGCCGAUGACAUUGUUGCCAAGAUCGUGUGCCAUGCAGAGCAGGGCUCCAACUUCACCACUAGUCUUAUAACUCAAGUUGCGGCUGAAAAAGGCCAGCACGGCGCCGUGGCGAGCACAGAGCCCCCCCACGCCCGAAAUCGACGCCACUCCAACCAGGGACAAAGCAGCGGCGAGAACGACGGCGUCUGGGCUAUGUACGGCCUCUUCCAGCUCAGCAGCCCUCAGUUCUGCAGCAGCGGCGAGAACGCCACGCCCAACAUCUGCCAGACGAGCUGCAGCAACUUCAUUGAUGAUGACAUAACGGACGACAUCAGCUGCGUGUUGAAGAUCCUCACCGACCUUCUUGAAAAUGGCUUCAGGUCAGAGCACUGGAAUGAGCUGAAGAAGAUGAUCAAGGUCAUGUUCCAGGAGAAGUGCAGAGCGGUGCAAGCCAAAGAAUACUUUGCUGCAUGUCAAUAAAAUCCUUCAUUUUGAUGCAGCUUUGGUUCGAGAUCCUCUGAAUGAAAUAAAUAAAAAGUACAAAGCAUGCGACACUUAAGGUUUUGUUUGUUCAAAAUCCAAAAUGACCGAAAGAUUAAAUUGAAUAAAUAUGUUUGGAAAGUUUACUGAAUUCCUUCUGUCUGUUAUCUGAUAAUAGUAAAUGCUAAAAAAUAGAUUUUGGUUCAAACAGUUGUUGAUUCAGAGGUCAUUUGAAAGUUUUUUAAAGUUUUUUUUCUGAUUCAGUUGAACUUCAGACUUUCUGUAAAAUUAAUAAAAUUUCAACCAUAAACUUAAAUUGACCUUAAUGGGAUCAUCUGUCUGAUUCUUCUGAAAUGGUUCCCUGAGCAAAUCUGAGAACACUUAAAAAUGAAACUUAAAUAAAAUGUCCUAAUUUAUCAUUUUAUGUUUGUAAAAAUCACACCAACUUAGUUUAAUAAGAUGUUUUCUCUUUUUUUAAGGUUUUAUUUUGUAAUAACAAAUUUCAAUGAAUUGUUUUUAAUGAUGUAUGUACCUAGAUGAAGGUGUAAUGAUCAAUGUCAUUUUUUUAUGUUGUGUAUUAAUGCAUGGAUUAUUUUAAUAAGGACUAAUGGGGAUCCUUAAAUAAAUAAAUAAGUGUCCUAAAAAGUUAAAUAAAGUUAAAAAGCAUCUUUAAUUGUUAGCAACAUCGCUGAUACAGUUUGCAAAAACUUUCCUAACUUUACAUGAGUAAAC
ensembl:lncRNA